GUGUUCACUUCAGCAGCACAUAAACUAAAACUGGAAUGAUAGAGAUUAGCAUUUGGCCCUUGCCCAAAAAUGACAUGCAAAUCCAUGCAGCCUUCCAUUAUUUU